UCUGCAGCUGCAAGGGAAGGUUUCACAAGCAAACAGCUGAUCAGGAGCUAAGAGAUCCACCUGAUUCUGCGUCCUAAGUGCUGGAAUUAAAGGUGCAGAAAUUUAGUCCAUCAAGGCAGGAACAUGGCAACAUCCAGGCAGACAUGGUGCAGAAGGAGCUAGAGUUCUACAUCUUCAUCUGAAGGCCACUAGGAGAAGACUGACUUCCAGGCAUCUAGGAUAAGGGUCUUAAAGCCCAUACCCACAGUGACACACCUACAUAGGCCAUAACCACUCCAACAAGGGCAAAUCUACUUCAACAGGGCCACACCUUCUAAUAGUGCCACUCCCUGGGCCAAGCCUAUACAAAUCAUUGUAUCCUGUUUCUGCUUUCUCAGCACUGAGAUUACGAAUGUUCACCCCCACAGUGGGUGCUUGACAUGGCACAGAGGACCAUACUUAGGUCCUUAUGUUUGUAUGGCAAGAAUUCUCCCCAAAGAAGCAUUUCCCAGCUCUUCAUUUUUCCUAACGGACCCAUUAAUUGGUCUUGCCAAGUGUAUUUUUUUUCCAUCUGAGUAAUCUGAACUGUAUAAAAACCUUUUGUUAGCCCAGCAGCAUAUGCUUAAAGCUCAGCACUUGGGAAGUAGAAGCAGGCAGAUCUCUGUGAGGUUCUGAGGCCAUCCAGGUCUACAUAGUGAGUUCUAGGACAGGCGAGGCUAUAAAGUGAGACUCUGUAUCAAAAGCAAAACAAAACAAAAUGGAAUGAAACAAAACAACAACAAAAAGAAAGAAAAGAAAACCUUUGUUAGGCUUUACAAGCCCAAGUUCUACAUUAGAUUUACUUAACAGCUUUAAUGAAAAAAGAAAAACUACUAAAUUAGCCACAUACUGAUCUGUUGUGUAACAGAUUCCUCAGAGAUUGAAACAUUCCAUCUUGCAGGGAAACUCCUUAGGGGUCACUCUUGCUGGGCUGGGCUUUGGUGAGACAGCUGUCUUUGAGUCAUUUCUGCUCCUGUAACUAACCCCUCACCCAUAUUUCUGUAAGUAACCCCAAUAAAGUUCAUGGUUCACCAACUUGGA
ensembl:lncRNA